rnacentral:sRNA from 1 species
GCCGGGUGCGGUGGCUCACACCUGUAAUCCCAGCACUUUGGGAGGCUGAGGUGGGGGGAUCACCUGAGGUCAGGAGUUUGAGACCAGCCUGGCCAACAUGGUGAAACCCCAUCUCUA